UGUGCCGGGGAAACCCGCCCCCCACCCCUUGGCUUUUACCGCCUCCUCGAGCUGCGAUGGCGGGGGCAAGACACCCCCUUAGCUCCCUCCAGUCAUGGACGUCCCCCUUCUUCCACCGAGGCCCGAGCCUUAGCGGGAGGAAGGGAGGCGGUCCGUCCAGAAACUCACCGUCCUCCAGAGACUCUGGAAGUUUGUCCGAGAAAAGUCUCUGCGAAGUGUGUUCCCGCCCGAGCGCCUGAAGGGAGAGCCAAAGAGGCCGCUCAUCUGGGGUCUCCCCUCAUCCAGGAAACCUUCCCAUCUACCUGGAUCCACAGGGAUCUUUCUCCUUUCUGGACCCCUAUUGCCCUUAGGAUUGGAGCAUCUCAAUUUAUCCUGAGCUGUAAGGAUCUCCGUUUCCUGUAGCUCAGGCCCAGUCCCACAGAGGUGCUUCGCAGAGGCUGUCAGAGCAAGCAGCUGUCCUUGCAAUCCUGCUGGUCAUGGGUGGAGAGGGGGACCAGAGUGGGGAAGUCACCAGGAACCCUGUCAUCUGAGGCUGGGCAGAGGCAGCCAGGGCGUUUGGCCUGAGUGGAGACUCCUGCCAAGAGAUGGCCAUCUCCAGAUGUCUGCAGGCCAGCCAGAGGGAGCCAGCUCACCCUGUGGGGCCUGAGGGCAGAGACGGGACUAAUGGGAGGAAAUUACAUGGAGAGAUUUCAUCUCAGCUUGAGGAAGCACUGUCUACCAGUCUGAGCUGCCCAACCGUGGCCUGUCCAGGCUGCGACCAAAGGCAGUGAGCUCCCUGUCACCAGAGGUGUGUGAGCAAAGGCUGGGGGCUCCCUGGUGAGGGAAGCUGCUGAGGGGAUUUCCGGCCUUGCGGCUCCUUAGAGGCUGUGGACAGUCCUUCAUACUUCCUGUGCGGCUCUGCCCCUCACUUGGUUCAGCUUAUUCCUCUGCAGGAACCUGACCAACGGCAGCCUCAGAGGAACCCAAUGGCUUCCCCCAAGGCAUUUGGAAUGGGGUUCCAUCUAAAUCUAUCUUCUCAAGACCAUUUCCAGCUCUAUCAAGUGAGAUGCACCUGUACUCAUAUGACUCACGUGUACCUGCAGUCUUGCCAAGGGCCAGGUAUCUUAGGCAAACCCUGGGAACCAUCAGACAAGGAAAUUCCAGAAUUCUACUGGUCCCUGAGAUGCGGUGAGGACCACACUGAAGAGAGAAGACUUGAAUUCAAAUACAGGAUAAGCUCAGCCCCAGGUAGUGAAUUUGCCAAGCCGUGUGUCAAUGCUGUGAGAAACUUUCCAUUGUUGCCUUAUCUCGUGGCAAUCCGCCUCGCCGCCUUGCAGCGACCACAGGUGCGCGCAGAUCUGAGGCCUGAUCUGUUCCACUCUCUUUGUGCCAAGCAGAGCAGGGGCCGCGAACCCCAGCAUGAAACGGCGCCCACAACCACAAGGCCCCAUGUGCGCCCUCUGAAACCGUAGGUAAAGACAAUUACCGGCAAUUUCCAUAGCAUGGUUUGUUUUUUGUUCAAAGGCCAUGGAGGCAUUCUCAGCAGCGAGCCCAAAAUAUAGCAUUCCCACCACAUGCCGCCCUCGUAAAUGCGCAAUAAAAGCUGUGGUCGCUUUGUCCCGGCUCUUCCUUUUAACAGUCAGAUCUUCGAGUUUGAUGUUGAAACUGCUUUUUUCUUAACGUGUACUUUGAUGGCUCAGAUAACGCUCCAUGAUAAGGAACCUGCCUUCGAAACCGCUCACUGUACCUCGUGGUCACCAUUAGGAUACGCGUCACAAGGGAAAAUCAGGUGCCCGAAGUUAUGAGAAGUGGGAUACAAAUGUGCUGAGUCUGUGAAAUGAUUUUCUCUGCUGCCUGUACUGGAGAUUUUGCAAAACAGAAACAAAAAAAUAAAAUAAAACAAAAAACCAGACACCGAUCAGAGGGGAUUUGUGAAAGGAGAAAAUAGUGGACAAUGUUUCAGAAAGAGCUGUUUCUCCCUUGCAAAAGUUGCUGAGAAUCUGCUCUUGGUCACUUAGGCCCAUCAGUUUUCCUUAACUGAAAAGAUUCCACGAUGCGGCUGUUAAAUGGCCCAGAGUCCCUGAGAGCACUCUUGGGGGAGGUCGCUGAGGUUCCCAGUUCAUCAGCUACCACGUCUCCUCUGGUUGAGUUUGUGCUCUUCCGUUUUUUGCAUCAGUGUUUAGAAUCUACCAAGGGCUGACCACACCUGAAGCCAUUACAUCACGAUAGGAUUAGGCCCUUGUGUUUCUUUGUGUAAAGUUGAUUGGUUUUUUCAAAGCACUUUGAUGUCUGUAUCUUUCCCCCAUCCUGCUGAGAAGGCUGACAUCAAUAUGGUGGCCAGCACAAACCCCAGUAGGCGUUUUGUUGUUGUUAUGUGCUGUCCAGUCGAUUCUGACUCAUAGUGACCCCAUGUGGCAGAAUGGAACUUCCCCAUGGGCUUGUCUAGGCUGUAAUCUUUACUGGAUUCUUUACUGGCUCUACCACUGAGCCACUGGGUGGGUUUGAACUGCCAACUAUUUGGUUAGCAGCGAGCAUUAACUGUUGUGCAACCAGGGAUCCUUCCAGUAGGUGUACUUAUACCUAUUACAGACAAGGUGAGAGUGAUUAGGACAAUGACUGGCCAUAUCCGCAGAAAGAACCCUGAGGUUGAGAGAGGGCUUCUUGGUGGAGGUCCCAGAAUUGCAUCUGCAGAGACCAGGCAUUUUAAAAGACCUCCAAACUCUGGACUGAAAUCAGUGGCUUUCCAGGUCUCUUAAAAAAGAGACCAUGGUGGCUCUUGUUUUCCUUUUCAGCUUUGUUUUGUGCCCAGGGAGCCUGGAGAUCCUGGGCGUGUGAGGUGUAGGGAUUAGAGCUGGUUUGAAUCCGACAGACUGAGGCUUGAAUCCUGGCUUAUUAGCUUACUUACUGACCACGGGCGUCCCCGUAGUAAAAGCUCUUUAGGGUCCCUGCCAGACGUGACAGUCUGUGAAUCUGUGAUUCUAUGAAUUACCCUGGAUUUGCAUAAGCAUAACAUCUUAUAGGUUUCGAAGCACUUUCACAUACCUUUCAAUAGCUCAUUUGAUCUCUACCACAGCUCUGCGCGGUGGCCAGGCAGACAGGCGUGCCAUGUUUUCAUAUCCCCAUUUGAGCACAGGGGUUGGGUGGGGGAAGCUGAAGCCCAGAGAGAUGGAAUGGCCAGCCAUAGGAACAGCCAGAGGCUGGUGGCUGGCCAAGACUUCUGGACCACUCUCUUGUGGAAAGCCCCAUCCACUGGACUCAGGGAUGUGGCACCACCAGGACUGAGGCCUCCUUUCCAUGUGCUGCACCAGGUGCAGGGCCAUAGCCCUGCACAGAACACUUUGCGGCAUUGGAAGAGAUACUCCAGGAGGGUGCUACAAAGGCCAUUCAGAGGCAGACACCCUGGAAUCACUGCUCCAGCAGACUCUCUCCUCUUCAGCCCCUCCCUCAAGCCCCCAUCCCUACCUUUGAUUGCACAAGUUUCCCCUCCUGGGAUCCCCUCAUUCCUCCUCCCUGCCUAUCUAAUUCCUAGCCACCCUUUAAAGCCAGCUGCCGUGUCUUGUGCUCUAUAUUCGUUUUCUUAUUUAAUCCUAAAUCUGUUUCCUCAUCUAUAAGACAAGAAUAGAAAUAUCCUCUAUAGCAUCAUUUGGAAACCCUGGUGGCAUAGUGGUUAAGUGCUACAAAUGCUAACCAAGAGUUCAGCAGUUCAUAUCUGCCAGGUGCUCCUUGGAAACUCUAUGGGGCAGUUCUACUCUGUCCUACAGGGUUGCUAUGAGUCGGAAUUGACUCGACGGCAGUGGGUUAGUUGGUUAGCAUCAUUUAUCUCCAUUUUACAGAUGGAGAAACUGAGGUGGAGAGGGUUAAGCCACUUGCCUGUAGUCACACAGCUAGUAAGAGAUGGAGGCAGGAUUUGAGUCCUGUACCUUAUGACCUAAAAAGCCCAGAACCUUAUGCACCACACCACACUGAUUCUUCUACCCCAUUCACAAAGCACUUGAGGACCACUAUGGCCUGUGGCCACUCCUCCUCCUCAGUGCACUCCCAACCUCUGCUGAGUGUGUGUUCUAUGGGUCCCUCUUGUCUCCCCCUCCAGGCUCUGAGUGCUGCAGGUCAGGGACUGCAUCCUGUUCAGUUCUAUCCACUCCUCACAGCUGCCUGGCACAUCGUUGGCACUUGGUAAGCCCUUGCUAUUCGAAGGCUCAGAGAGUGAAGAUACCUGCAGGGCAGAAAGACACCAAGGCCAGGUAGGGCCUGGAGAAGUAGGAGCUGCUCCUUCCUGCUGGUCCCAGAGAGCUGGGCUACUAAACACCCAGGGCCCCCUGGCCUACCGCUGAGAGCACAGAAGUGCAGUGGGGUGGCCCAGUUUGUUCCUCUUACACUGACCACAAACUUACGCUGGCUCUUCUCACCAUGCAGAAUAAUGUGAUGUUUAAAAACACAGGCCCAUCCGUUGUGUGACCCAGGGCAAAUGACUUAAUGUAUUUCAAAAUCUAAGACUUCAUUCCUCAUAAAGUGCACAAUAUUUUAUGUCCCAUGAGAAAGAAAAAACACUCCCUGACAGUUAAACUAUGACAAGCUAUCAAUCUCAAGAUGCAUCUGGAUUUCAGAGAUGUUAAGAUUUGUAAAUAUACUUCACAAAAUAAAAUAUACAAAUGACUGAUAAGCACAUGAACAGAUGCUCAAUGUCAUUAGUCAUCAGGAAAAUACAAAAUAAAACAACAACCAGAUACCACUACCUAUCCAAUAAAAAGAAGGGUUAAAAUAAAAAGAAACUGACCUCACCAAGUGUUGGCAAGGAUGUGGAGCAGCUAGAACUCUCGUACACUGCUGAUGGGAAUCUAAAAUCUCUUUGGAUAACAGAUGGGCAGCUUCUCAAGAAGUUAAACAUAUACCUAUUAUAUGACUCAGACAUCUUAGUCUUAGGUAUUUACUGAAGAGAAAUUAAAACACAUGUCCACACAAAGACUUAUACAAAAAUGUUCUUAGCAACUUUAUUAGUAAUAACCCAAACCUGCAAAUAACCUGAAUGCCCAUCAACAAGUAAAUGCAUAUAACCAUGCAAUGGAACAGUACUCCGGAAUAAAAAAGAAUUAACGAUUGAUACACACAACAUGAAUAAACCUCGCAAUUAUGUUAAAUGAAAAAAGCCAGACAAAAGUGAAUACAUACUGUAUUAUUUCAUUUAUAUAAAACUCUGGAAAAUACAAACUAGUUUGUAUUAGUUUUCAGAAUGCAGAUAGUGAUUGCCUAAGGUCAGCAGUUGGAAGGAGGGAAGCGUGAGGAGACCUGGAGGGGGAGAUGGAAGUGUUCAUUUUAUUGAUGGCAAUGACGGUUGCAGGAGUGUAAACGUAAGUUAAAACUUAUUAAUUGUACCCUUUAAAUGUGUACAGUUUAGUAUUCUUCAAUCCUACCUCAAUAAAGUUGAAAAAAUAUGAACAAAUCUACGUUUUAGAAUAGAACAGUUUGUCUGUGACCCAGAAAUAUUUGUGAGGCUUACAUGAGAUAAAGCGUUAGCUCAGUGCCCGGUGUGUGAUACCAGUACCAGCCGCCUUUGAGUCAGCUCCGACUCAUGGCAAUCUGUGUGUGUCAGAGUAGAACUGUGCUCCACAGGGUUUCCAACGGCUGAUUUUUCAAGAAGUAGACGGCCAGAACCUUCUUCUGAGGCACCUUUGGGUAGACUCAGACCACCAACCUUUCAGUUUGCAGCCAAACACAUGAACUAUUUGCACCAAGCAGGGACCACUGCCUCCCAGAGUUAAGCUGUGUGUAGCACUUUACCUCCUUAGAGGGCUUGCAGCCCAUUAUCACCUUUAUUCCACCCUGAGACCCCUCUACAGACAAAGGCCUUGAGACUGGGAGAGGCAAGGAACCCUACCCAGGUCCUGCAGGGAGUUCGUGCAGUGCAGGCCAACAUUUCUGGUCCAGAGUGAGUCUCUGGACCCGUGGCAUCUCAAAUUGGCCUAACCUCAGGCAAGGCAAGAGGGAACAAUUCCAGCUUCCAGAGUCCUGGAAAUGGUCCGGCUUUCUGGAGCUAAGGCUACUGGGGACUGGGCUUGAGAAGCCGUUGGCAUCUGACUUUGGCUGUUAUAGAGGGAGACUGACCACAGUGAGCAGCACAGAGAGGCAGCCGCUCGGGACUUUGGUGUUGGCGCCCUGUGGCCUGCGUGUGUGGAUGCAGUGCUCCUUCUACGCAGCCCUGCACCGGCUGGGCCCCUGGUCCCAUGCAAGUGAGCGAUUCAGAGCUACUCUUCUCAGCAAGUGUGAGGAGCCCCCACCGCAGGCCGCCUUCAGGGCAGGCCAGCAUUCGACAUUACUCAGAGCUUCCAGUACCUGCCUGAGUUCAAACAGGAAGCCUGGUUUUUCCUCUCAUGUCAACAACAGCCUUUAUUUCUCUCUUUCUGUUCUGGCCUCAGGGGCUCCCUUGCUGGGUGGGUUUCUUGGGGUGAAGGUCUGUGGUGUCAGCGGUCCUUAGGGCCCCACCAACAGUGCUGUGGCCAGAGCUUCCUUACCUGGGAAGGCCUGGCAGAGGGCUUUGUGCCCACAGGCCUUGGGAAUGACCCAGCUCCUUAGUAGCUCUGUAAACAGAGGGGGCAUCUGGCCGUGCACAUAGUAGGCACUCUAUACAUGUUUGUUCAAUGGAUCUAGACUGAAGUCUAACAAGUGCAGGUCCUCCCAGGUAUCUAGCUCAGUAAACAUCACCUCUACCUGCUCCCUCAGGCCAGACACCCUGGAGAUGCCUCCCCAGCCCUUCUGCCCUCAUUCCCACCCUAAGUGGACACUAAGGCCAUCUGUACUUCUUCCUCAUUAGUUCCCAAAUCCUCCCCGCAUGAUAGCUUAGUCCAGACCCCUUUACCCCUUGCCUGAUGCUACUGCUGUCUCUCACGUCUUACCUGGCCUUAUUCCACUUACGGACACACAAUGAUCAGGGCCAUCUUUCCUGGAUGCUUGAAGGACCGUGACACAAAUGGGCCUUUCUUUGCUCACCAGCCCAGCAUACCUCCCUAUGCCUGUGUGGCAAAAUCUAAAGUCCCUGCUGAGGCCUACAAGGCCCAGAGUGGCCUCCCAUCUCUCACCCGAUUCCCAGUGUGUUCUCUGUGCUUGUCCUGAGGACACCCAGCCACCUGGGGUUCUCUAAUCAAGUCAUGGUAGUGCUGGCCUCCUGGGCUUUGUGUGAUGCCUGAGCAGGACUCCACUCCCCAGUGCCUGCCUGCCACGGAGCUCCUAGUGAAUCCCUCCCCUCUCCCACUGCCUCCACCCAUCCUUCGCCUUUCUACGUGUGUAUGCAGCUGGCUUUUGCAUGUAUCACCCACCCGUGUGUGUCUUCACAGCUUCCAGCCUCUGAGGGCAGAGUCUCAUCUGGCCGUGUCUGCAGGCCAGCCCAGCUCUGCCCAGUCAAGGAGGGUCCAGCAUGGACCAAGUUGUUUGGCAGGUAUGUGCUGGACAGCCACCAUUCUGUAGCUUUCACAACCUCAGGGGAUCAGAUGUGGAAGCAUCUAGUAUGUGACAGCAAUUGGCCUCCCCCUUUUGUCCCCAGAUUCCGUGAUGCGAAAACAGGUCCUGCGGCGUUGGUAAUUAGGGGGUAGGGCCACAGUGGAAAAGCUUCUUUCUAGGAGACAGUCUGUGGACAUCAAGCUGCUUUUAUUUCCUUCUCUGGCUUGGUGGCCAAGGCUGGAACACUUAGACAACUGACAUUUCGUUUUAGCUGAGCUCUGAAGAAAGUAUUCACAGACUCCUAGAGAAAUGGACCCCUCUGGGCUAGGUAGAUGCUGGGGAGGCAAAAGGGAGGCUAGCUCUUUCUGUGCCUCAGUUUACUUAUUGGUCAAUACAAUAGGGAGUACCUCCUCAUAGGGCUGUUGUGAGGACUAAAUGAGUGAAUAGAACAGAGUAAGUCUAUGUGUUAGUCCUGUGACGAUGAUGAUGGACCAUGGGGCAUCCAGCGUGGCAGGAGUGUGCAGGUCACAGUGUGAGAAGGACAGACUCCAUGCCCAGGGGCUGACCAUACAUCACUCUUUCAUGGAAGGUUUGCUCCUUGAGGGCAGAGGCUGCAUCUGGCACACAGUAGGUGCUCAGUAAGAGUUUAUUGAAUGGAUUUAGAGUUUAUAAUUUUUUGGUCCAGGCUGAAGUUUUCUUUCUUCUGCCAGGGAAGGAAGACUUUGCCAGGCAAUUGGGAGAGUAAGGAAGUUGAGGGUGAGAAUGUUUAAUCUCUUAAAAGGAGAAAUACUUUAAGUGCUUAUUUACAAUGGAGAUGCUAAUUAGUAACAAUCAUUAUCUAGUGGUUAGAUCAGACCUCCUCAAAGGACUCCUGUUAGGUACCCACAGAUGCCCAAACUGGGCUGAGAGUAGACAAGCUGCAUUUAUUGUUUUAUAUUUUAAAAGUCUGAUUUAGCUCCUGAGAGCCAGGUAGUUGUCUCACCUGUGUCUUGCCUCUUCAGCCUGCUGCGUCCAAGGCCCCAGAGUCUUUGGGUGGGAUGACACCCUUAGAGGUCAUCUGGUCCAGCUCUCUGUCUCACAGUCAUAUGCACAUGGCCACCGUGCAAGGAAGGCCAUGUGUUGAACUUUUGAAGGCUGCCACGGUGCAAGAACUCCCAGCCACGGACAGGCAUGCCUGGGCAGGGAGUCCCUCACACACAUUGGGAGCUUCCUUGAACGUGAGCCCACUCUGUGGCUGACCCAGGCUGUGCUGGGCGCUGGGAGAGAGCAGCGAGCAAAGCAGACUUAGCCCUGCCUGUACAGGGCUCACCGUCCCGGUGGGAAGGAGGGGAGACAGACAUUGCACAGACACACAUAAACAUGUGAUUGCAACAUGUGCUACAAAGGAGAUGUCCAAGAUGACAUUGAGGGUUGACCUCAAUAGGUCUGGGAGACUCAGGAAGGCCUCCCUAAGAACUGAGGGUGCAGCAGAGAUCUGAAGGGUGCAUAGGAGUUAUCUGGGUACAUGGGGGUGGGGAGGGCAUUGUGGGCAGAGGGAACAGUAUGUGUAGGGGAUAGAAGGCCAGGGAAGCUGCACCAUUAAGCAAGGUUACAGGUGAACUGGAGAGGAGGGCAGGGGCCUGAGUCUGGGAUCUGGACACAGUGCCGUGGCUCUGUCUAGGUUUCCAUGAGAAAGAAUCCCAUGAUGGUGGAUGUCUUCACAGCACGUGUGAGAGCUAUCAAGUACCAAACCUGUCCUCGUGAGCUGAAAGUUUCCUCCAUCAGGGUGGGGUAAGCAUUCUUCUGCUCCAGGUUGUUUCUUGUUUAAACAUUUAGUGCUCUUAGAAAAGGGGAGUCGGUGGCCUUCCCACUGCUGAAUGAUUGGGAUGGGGUCAGGGUCAGGAGGAAAAGAGGCCACACAAUGGGUGAGGCUGCUGCAGAAACCUUCUAGGUUAGCUUGACCUGGCCUGAUCUGCAGCCCCUCAGGCUGCCUGAGCCUGGCAAAUGGGCAACCAAACCUCCUGCCCUGACUUACAUGUCAAAGUGCUUCUUCUGGCUUCUCAAGGUGAACUGGUAUUUGUGAACCAGGGCCAGCACUCUGGCCUGACUCCCACCUGGGCUCUUUGUCUAACACCAGGUUACAGGACACCUCUACCCCAACAUGCUCCCGGGUUUAGCUUUCUUUUUCAAAUUAGGUUUAAUUGAAAAGCCUCAUUCAUUUUUUGAAAUUGACUUUUUUUCCCUAAAUUUUAUUUAUUUUGUUGUUGUUGUUGAGAAUAUACACAGCAAAACAUACACCAAUUCAACAGUUUCUCUCUGUACAAUUUAGAAGACACUGAUUACAUUCUUUGAGUUGUGCAACCAUUCUCACCCUCUUUUUCUGAGCUGUUCCCCCCCAUUAACAUAAGUUUACCAACUCGUAAAAUUCAUAUCUAAUCUUUCAAUUUGUUGUUGUCAAUUUGGUCUCAUACAGAUAGUUCCUAAAAGAGCAUAAUGCUCAAGCAGAUAUUUUUUGCUAGUUAAGCUAAACUGUUGUUCGGUUUUAAGAUGACUUCGGGGAUAUUUUUGGUUUACAGUUUAAAGAUUAUCUCAGGGCAAUCGUUUCAGGGGUUCAUCCACCCCUUCUGGCUCCAGAAGGUCUAGAGUCCAUGAAAAUUUGAAAUUCUCUUCUUCAUUUUCUUCCUUUUGAUCAGGAUUCUUCUAUGGAAUCUUUUAUCAAAAUGUUCAGUGAUGGUAGCCAGGUACCAUUCAGUUUUGGUCUCAUGGCAAAGGUGGCAGUUGUUCACAGAGGCAAUUAGCCACACAUUCCAUAUCUUCCUCCUGUUCCUGACUCUACUUCUUCCUCUGCUGCUCCAGGUGAAUACAGACCAAUAGUUGUGCCCUGGAUGGCUGCUUGCAAGCUUUUAAAACCCUACGCGCUACACAACCAACUAGGAGGUAGAAUAGAAGCGCUACACACAUUAUUAGGCCAAUUAACUGGGAUGUCCCAUGAAACCAGGACUGUAAACUUCCAAGCCAAUGAUCCAAAUAAAAUUGACUUUUAAUGACAUAAAUAAUACAAAUAUUGGGGAAAAAAAUAAGCACCAUGGAUAAAGGUAGUGUUCCCUCAUCUCAGCCCUCUCCCUAGGGGUUAUUGGGUGAGUCUGUCUCCUUCCAGUCUUUAUUAAAUGCAUUUUCAUUUCUUUCUAUGUAGAUACAAAUAUAGUUUUGUUUGCUAUGCAUUGGUACUGCUUUACAUAAAUCUGAGUUAUAUGUAUUAUUUAAGCAACUUCCUUUUUUCACUUAAUGGUACAUCUUGGGAAUCUUCGCACAUCAACAUACAUGAACCUUCUUCAUUCUUUGUAAAGGACUGCAUACUCUUCCCAAGGGUGCGCAGUCCAUGGGUUAUUCACCCAUUUCCUCACUAAUGAACACUCACAGUGUUUCAGAUUGUCACCAUCACAAGUAAUGCUGUAGCAAACAUCCUUGUCUGUGUGUGUCAGCCUGGCCCAACUCAAGGGUAGUUGUCUUCAUUGGUAAUGAGAUCUUCAUCAGAGGAGGUAUUCAAGUAGAGGGUGAAAUAAUAUGUCCUCCUCACUCCAGAGCAAUGAUGCUAAACUUUAUUGUGCAUGAGAAUCACCUGGAGGGCUUUUUUUUUGGCGGGGGAGGGGGCGAUAAAUGCUUUAGAACUUACGUUUACGCUUCGUAACUACUGAGUUGCUAGGUUCUGCUAGAAUUUUAGAGCUUUGCAGAAACCUGGAAUAGUUAGAAAAUACUUUCUUUCAAAAUAAUAAGGGGAAAAAACAAAACUGAUGUGUUCCCUUUUGAACAUGGGAAAUAGAACAUUAACAGGUUGCUAAUUAUAAUAUGGAGCCCCUGCCUAGAGAGCUUUUGAAGAUUAGAUUGCUGGGCCAGACCCUUGGAGUUUCUGAUUCAGUAGGUCUUGGAUACGCCACACACAGAUAGGACCUGAGAAUUUCCAUUUCUAAUGAGCUCCCAGCUGAUGCUGAUGCUACUAGUCCAGAAUUCCUAUCUCAGGGUGUUGGCUACUCAGCACCCACUUACUUAAAGCGUCACAUCACCCAUGGGAGACAAUGUUCAGGGAGUAUUCAUCCUGGACCCCUCCUCCUACUGGGAGGGGGGUGCACUAACUGGCAUCUCUCUUGGUUCACGGCCCUGCAGGACACUGGCCCAGAGGUCUGGCUAGCAGGACUGUCUGGUCAGAUGUUCCGGCUGUGCCUGAAAGCCCGUGGCAUCUUGACUCUAGAUACAGCUUCAGGACCAGCCUUUUGGGCAGCCAGCCCCUCCCCGGCCUGCCAGUGCCUGCGCCAGUCUUCCCUUUGGAGCCUAAUGAAGGGCUCUGAGGCUGGCGGUGAGCUGUUUACACAGCCUGAUUGGGAAGUGCUCUGGGGUUUUCAUAAAAGAAACAACAGGAGACCACAUCCCCAGAGAGGGUCUUCUAAAGGUCUUGAGGUUUCAGGACCCUGAGGCUGUCUUUGUUCCCAGCUGGACUGCAGGAGGUCACACCAGGGUUGGGGUAGCAGUAUUGGGAUGGGGGUAAGGACCCAGAGCAUGUACUCUUGGAACUAAAUAUCCAGAAGGACUCACUCCCUUCUCGGACCUUCCUGGUGGCCUCAGGAGGGACACUUCUGCACCAGAGGAUGGUCACAUUCCCCCUGUGGCCAGGCUAGGACAGAGGGUAAUCCCUGCCUUCUCCUUUGGAGUUGGGCAAGUUACAUACUGAGGGUCAGACGCUCGCUGGUGGGCAUUUGGUCAGUGCUUCUACCCAGAGCUGAACCUUGGCACCCUGUGGCUCACCAGGCCCCCUGUCGUUUGACCCUAAGGACUCAGUUCGUGAACAUCAGCAACACUGACCAUCAGAAAAAGCUCCCUCAGGGCUGCUCAGCACUUGGCGAUUAACAGAUCCUUGUUAAAUAAAUCAAUGAGUGGGCAUCUUAGGUUUCUGUAAGAUGGGCCCAGGAUGUUCCUUCCUGGAAGUGGGAGAUGCCUCUAGGGCCAGCUAUUUGAGACCCCUCUGAGCUGCUGCAUCUUUUGGAGUGCUGGGUCCUCCACUACCAGGAACCUCAAAUGUGAAAGGGGACCUGGGGGAAACUCCACCUUCCAUCCUGGAGUUACCCUGGGACAGGCCCAACCCAAGGAGGAGGUUGGAGGGAGGGGCACUGGCUUCCUCCUUUCCUAGGCAGGCAGGAGAAGUGGGGAUCUGUGGGCAUCCUGUGAGGCUGUGGGAGUUCAGGGCAAGGCCAGGUAGCUUUCUGCCCGGGGAUCCCACCACCGUACCCCUCAACCCCCAAUCACUCACUAACUCAGCAGUAAUACUGGAACUGGGGAGGGGGGGAGCAAGAAUUUUAAUCCUUUCAGAAAACUCAAAACUUAACUUUUCAUUUCUUUCAAAACACUCUCCCGUAACCCAUAAAACGAAAGCCGAGGCUCAGGGGAAUUUUGCACAAUGGAAAAGCUCAAGGUGUUAUUUUUGGUCUGCGUGGAGCUGUUUGCAACCCACCUCUCGUUACUUGGACUAAAAGUGCCCAAGGCUGGGGGCGCUGAGGGUCUCCGGGACAGGGCUGAGCCUGUG